CGGCGCGUGGACCACGGCAGUCCGGACGACUCGUCCUCGUCCGGCUCGUUGCGUCGGCGCAGCUCGAUCGGGUCGACACCGAGCCGGUCGGC
rnacentral:tRNA from 1 species